ensembl:lncRNA
UGACACAUGAUGUGGGAGCUUUACCUUUGAUUCUGAGACAUGAAGAUUUCCUCUUAUGCCUACCCCAGAGCCAGUUCUGAGGGGAGGAAACAGGAUGCAAAGUAAUCAGUAUUUCUCAAUGAAUUUUCAAAAACAUCUCCUACUGUUGUGACCCAGUCCUCUGUGGUGGUUUUCUGAUGGACCAUGACUUGCUCUUGGAUUCUGCUGACUGGGUGAGGUAAAGAGAGGCAAAGAUAAGCAUCAUUCAGCUGUCACCCUUCUGCCCUUGGGGAGUUCUUUCGCUGAAGCUGUCUGGAGCAUAUGUAAAGGUUGAAUACGUGCAAUCUUGAAUAAUACCUAUGUAAGGAACAACGUUGGAUUCACGUACCUGAUUGUAGAGCAAUGGUAACUUGUUUCACUGAUAGCUCUGGGAAAGGACAUAAUGAAUGCCCUUGGUUGGCUUUCUCCUCUUCAUUUUGUGCUCACAAAGACUGAAGUAUUUCAGCAUACUGAUGGACAAUGGACUGCCAGUGCAGACAGACAUCCAAAUUCAUCUCGGAAGAGUCAAGUUCUUAACUGUAGCAAAAAUAGCAAUUAUUUAUGGAGCAGCAUUAUAAUAGGCAUUAUGAAUUUGCAGAAGUCUUCACUGCACACAAAAUAUCAUUUUACUUGUACUAGAAAUUUCAUUUUUUUACAUUUUCUAGGUAGUUUGUUGUCUUCUUCAAACAGAGGCUGGUUUUCCUAGACAGGAGAAGGUAUUUUGCUGUG